rnacentral:rRNA from 1 species
GCGUAAGGCCUGGACGGCGGGUGGGUUAGGACGUAGGGCGCUAGCGUUGGGUAGGAUCACUGGUGGUAAAGGGCGCGUAGGAGGGUAGUUUAGUCGAGGCUGAAGGCCAAGGGAGCAACAUUGGAAUUGCCUUUGAUACUGGGUAUCUUGAGUAUGGAAGAUGUAUGUGGAACGGCGAGUGUAGAGGUGAAAUUCGUAGAUAUUCGGAAGAACACCAUGGGCGAAGGCGACAUACUGGUCCAUUACUGACGCUGAGGCGCGAAAGCGUGGGGAGCAAACAGGAUUAGAACCCGAGUAGUC